CCAUAGCGUAUAUUAAAGUUGUUGCGGUAAAAAAGCUCGUAGUUGGAUUUCUGUUGAGAGCGACCGGUCCAUACCAUGUAUGCGUAUCUGGCUUGCUCUCGGCAUCCUCUCGAUAGACGUUACUGCGCUUGAUUGCGUGGUGCGGAUCUCGGGACUUUUACUUUGAGGAAAUUAGAGUGUUCACGGCAGGCUUUCGCCAGAAUACAUUAGCAUGGAAUAAUACUAUAGGAUCUUGGUUCUAUUUUGUUGGUUUCUAGAAUUGAGAUAAUGAUUAAUAGGGACAAUUGGGGGCAUUCGUAUCAACACGUCAGAGGUGGAAUUCUUGGAUUGUGUUGCGACGAACUACUGCGAAAGCAUUUGCCAAGGAUGUUUUCAUUGA
rnacentral:rRNA from 1 species